GAUGAACGCUGGCGGCGUGCCUAAUACAUGCAAGUCGAGCGAAUGGAUUAAGAGCUUGCUCUUAUGAAGUUAGCGGCGGACGGGUGAGUAUCACGUGGGUAACCUGCCCAUAAGACUGGGAUAACUCCGGGAAACCGGGGCUAAUACAGGAUAACAUUUUGAACCGCAUGGUUCGAAAUUGAAAGGAGGCUUCGGCUGUCACUUAUGGAUGGACCCGCGUCGCAUUAGCUAGUUGGUGAGGUAACGGCUCACCAAGGCAACGAUGCGUAGCCGACCUGAGAGGGUGAUCGGCCACACUGGGACUGAGACACGGCCCAGACUCCUACGGGAGGCAGCAGUAGGGAAUCUUCCGCAAUGGACGAAAGUCUGACGGAGCAACGCCGCGUGAGUGAUGAAGGCUUUCGGGUCGUAAAACUCUGUUGUUAGGGAAGAACAAGUGCUAGUUGAAUAAGCUGGCACCUUGACGGUACCUAACCAGAAAGCCACGGCUAACUACGUGCCAGCCGCCGCUGUAA
rnacentral:rRNA from 1 species